GCUUACGGCCAUACCACCCUGAGCUCACCCGAUCUCGUCUGAUUGCGGAAGCUAAGCAGGGUCGGGCCUGGUUAGUACUUGGAUGGGAGACCGCCUGGGAAUACUUGGUACUGUAAGCU
rnacentral:rRNA from 1 species